GGUUAUGGCUCAGUGGUAGAGUGCUUGCCUAGGAUGAGUGAGGCCCUGGGUUCAAUACUCAGCACCA
rnacentral:tRNA from 1 species